ensembl:lncRNA
GCUCAUACGCCCUCUCGUUCGGAGUGAAAACACAAAAGAAUGUAGAUCAUUAUUUUAAAACAUAGAUCUCAAUGCAUCCAUCUACAGUUGAACUCGGAAGUUUACAUACACCUUAGCCAAAUACAUUUAAACUCAGUUUUUCACAAUUCCUGACAUUUAAUCCUCGUAAAAAUUCCCUGUUUUAGGUCAGUUAGGAUCACCACUUUAUUUUAAGAAUGUGAAAUGUCAGAAUAAUAGCAAAGAGCAGGAUUUAUUUCAGCUUUUAUUUUUUUCAUCACAUUCCCAGUGGGUCAGAAGUUUACAUACACUCAAUUAGUAUUUGGUAGCAUUGCCUUUAAAUUGUUUAACUUGGGUCAAACAUUUCGGGUAGCUUUCCACAAGCUUCCCACAAUAAGUUGGGUGAAUUUUGGCCCAUUCCUCCUGACAAAGCUGGUGUAACUGAGUCUGGUUUGAAGGCCUCCUUGCUUGCACACGCUUUUUCAGUUCUGCCCUCAAAUGUUCUAUAGGAUUGAGGUCAGGGCUUUGUGAUGGCCACUCCAAUACCUUGGCUUUGUUGUCCUUAAGCCAUUUUGCCACAACUUUGGAAGUAUGCUUGGGAUCGUUGUUAAUUUGGAAGACCCAUUUGCAACCAAGCUUUAACUUCCUGACUGAUAUAUAUCCACAUAACUUUCCUGCCUCAUGAUGCCAUCUAUUUUGUGAAGUGCACCAGUCCCUCCUGCAGCAAAGUACCUCCACAACAUGAUGCUGCCACCCCUGUGCUUCACGGUUGGGAUGGUGCUCUUUGGCUUGCAAGCCUCCCCCUUUUUCCUCCAAAUGUAAGGAUGGUCAUUAUGGCCAAACAGUUCUAUUUUUGUUUCAUCAGACCAGAGGACAUUUUCCAAAAAGUAUGAUCUUUGUCCCCAUGUGCAGUUGCAAACCGUAGUCUGGCUUUUUUAUGGUGGUUUUGGAGCAGUGGCUUCUUCUUUGCUCAGCAACCUUUCAGGUUAUGUUGAUAUAGGACUCAUUUUACUAUAGAUACUACCUCCAGCAUCUUCACAAGGUCCUUUGCUGUUGUUCUGGGAUUGAUUUGCACUUUUCACACCAAAGUACGUUCAUCUCUAGGAGAGGGAACGCAUCUCCUUCCUGAGCGGUAUGAUGGUUGCUUGGUCCCAUGGUGUUCAUACUUGCAUACUAUUGUUUGUACAGAUCAACAUGGUACCUACAGGCAUUUGGAAAUUGCUCCCAAGUAUGAACCAGACUUGUGGAGGUCUACAUUUUUUUUCUGAGGUCUUGGCUGAUUUCUUUUGAUUUUCCCUGAUGUCAAGCAAAGAGGCACUGAGUUUGAAGGUAGGCCUUGAAAUACAUCCACAGGUACACCUCCAAUUGACUCAAAUUAUUUAAAUUAGCCUAGCAGAAGCUUCUAAAGCCAUGACAUCAUUUUCUGGAAUUUUCCAAGCUGUUUAAAGGCACAGUCAACUUAGUGAAUGUAAACUUCUGACCCACUGGAAUUGUGAUACAGUGAAUUAUAAGUGAAAUAAUCUGUCUGUAAACAAUUGUUGGAAAAAUUACUUUGUCAUGCACAAGUAGAUGUCCUAACCGACUUGCCAAAACAAUAGUCGCUCAAAAACGAGUUUUAAUGACUCCAACCUAAGUGUAUGUAAACUUCCGACUUCAACUGUAUCUGGCUUAUCCUAACUAAGAUUUGUGUACAGUAUACCUUGCAAUAAUUUUGGUGAAAAGUAGACAAGUCAAUCAUGGGGUGGAUGAACACCACUUACACAUCAUGUGUACCUCACACAAAUAUCAUUAACUCGAGCCAGGCAGAAAUGGCUGGUAAGUGCAACGUCUGUUUCUGUCUCAGGAGCCCAUGUUGGAGCCUAUGGGAGAUUCUCUAUUGGUUUUUUCAACUCCUCAGUCCUCUCCUCGCCUCCUUUUGAAAAAGUAAACAACAGCAGAUUCAAAGGGGGUGUGGCAGAUCCCAUAACUCUUCCACGAAGGACUCAGGUAGGAUACUCUUGUGCUUCUUCGGAGGGAGGAGGCUAUCGAGGAGGCAAGGACAUUUCUCUGUUUGCCUACUAACUAACUGAUACUCUCCUCGACCACUCAACCACUUAUUGGUUUCCGGGUCACGGAGGAGAGAGGACAGUUUUUUGCCCAAAUGAGAAUCUUCCUGUGAAUAUAAACAUUCAAAAAAGUCUCCUACGCCUCCACGGAAUAGAUCAAAGUCCAACUUGAUCUGAUGAGUUGCUGUGAUUUGGCCUAAUCUCAGCUGGCAACUGUGAGCAGUUCAGCGUUUCCUCUCACAGUGGCUACUGGGGUUCUGCUAAACGUAGCUGUUUGCCUCUCCUGCACCACAGUAAAGUCCAGUACAGUAGGUCCCUCGCUGGAACAAGCUUUUGGAGAGGCGCCCAGUCUCCAAGGCGUCAAUAGAGAUGACCUGACGCCCCAGUGUCCUGCCUUCAAAAUUGUCACUGGUGCACUUAACAUGGGAUAGUCCCCUACUGAUGGUUUUCAGAUCUUGAACAAACUAUCAACAAAUUGUUUAACUAUCCACUAACCAUAUCCAUAACUCCAAUUUUUUGUUUAUUUUUUAUUACAGAUUUCAAAUUUGCAAUUGCAACAUUGAUACAUAUAUACACUGCUCAAAAAAAUAAAGGGAACACUAAAAUAACACAUCCUAGAUCUGAAUUAAUGAAAUAUUCUUAUUAAAUACUUUUUUCUUUACAUAGUUGAAUGUGCUGACAACAAACCGACUUGCCAAAACAAUAGUCGCUGAAAAACAAGUUUUAAUGACUCCAACCUAAGUGUAUGUAAACUUCCGACUUCAACUGUAUCUGUCUUAUCCUAACUAAGAUUUAUGUACAGUAUACCUCUGCAAUAAUUUUGGUGAAAACUAGACAUGUCAAUCAUGGGGUGGAUGAACACCACUUACACAUCAUGUGUACCUCACACAAAUAUCAUUGUAACUCGAGCCAGGCAGAAGCUGGUAAGUGCAACUGCUGUUUCUGUCUCAGGAGCCCAUGUUGGAGUCUAUGGGAGAUUCUCUAUUGUUUUUUUCAACUCCUCAGUCCUCUCCUCGCCUCCUUUUGAAAAAAGUCAAAGGUAACCGAUGAGUGAAGGGGAGGAAAGGAAAUGUGGAAACAAAUGCACUUGUAUGAAAUGAGACCAUCCUUCCUUGCAAUAGUUGAAUGUGCUGACAACAAAAUCACACAAAAAUUAUCAAUGGAAAUCAAAUUUAUCAACCCAUGGAGGUCUGGAUUUGGAGUCACACUCAAAAUUAAAGUGGAAAACCACACUACAGGCUGAUCCAACUUUGAUUUAAUGUCCUUAAAACAAGUCAAAAUGAGGCUCAGUAGUGUGUGGCCUCUACGUGCCUGCAUGACCUCCUUACAACGCCUGGGCAUGCUCCUGAUGAGGUGGCAGAUGGUCUCCUGAGGGAUCUCCUCCCAGACCUGGACUAAAGCAUCCGCCAACUCCUGGACAGUCUGUGGUGCAACGUGGCGUUGGUGGAUGGAGCGAGACAUGAUGUCCCAGAUGUGCUCAAUUGGAUUCAGGUCUGGGGAACGGGCGGGCCAGUCCAUAGCAUCAAUGCCUUCCUCUUGCAGGAACUGCUGACACACUCCAGCCACAUGAGGUCUAGCAUUGUCUUGCAUUAGGAGGAACCCAGGGCCAACCGCACCAGCAUAUGGUCUCACAAGGGGUCUGAGGAUCUCAUCUCGGUACCUAAUGGCAGUCAGGCUACCUCUGGCGAGCACAUGGAGGGCUGUGCGGCCCCCCAAAGAAAUGCCACCCCACACCAUGACUGACCCACCACCAAACCGGUCAUGCUGGAGGAUGUUGCAGGCAGCAGAACGUUCUCCACGGCGUCUCCAGACUCUGUCACGCGCUCAGUGUGAACCUGCUUUCAUCUGUGAAGAGCACAGGGCGCCAGUGGCGAAUUUGCCAAUCUUGGUGUUCUCUGGCAAAUGCCAAACGUCCUGCACGGUGUUGGGCUGUAAGCACAACCCCACCUGUGGACGUCGGGCCCUCAUACCACCCUCAUGGAGUCUGUUUCUGACCGUUUGAGCAGACACAUGCACAUUUGUGGCCUGCUGGAGGUCCUUUUGCAGGGCUCUGGCAGUGCUCCUCCUUGCACAAAGGCGGAGGUAGCGGUCCUGCUGCUGGGUUGUUGCCCUCCUACGGCCUCCUCCACGUCUCCUGAUGUACUGGCCUCUCCUGGUAGCGCCUCCAUGCUCUGGACACUACGUUGACAGACAGAGCAAACCUUCUUGCCACAGCUCGCAUUGAUGUUCCAUCCUGGAUGAGCUGCACUACCUGAGCCACUUGUGUGGGUUGUAGACUCCGUCUCAUGCUACCACUACAGUGAAAGCACCGCCAGCAUUCAAAAGUGACCAAAACAUCAGCCAGGAAGCAUAGGAACUGUGGUCUCCACCUGCAGAACCACUCCUUUAUUGGGGGUGUCUUGCUAAUUGCCUAUAAUUUCCACCUGUUGUCUAUUCCAUUUGCACAACAGCAUGUGAAAUGUAUUGUCAAUCAGUGUUGCUUCCUAAGUGGACAGUUUGAUUUCACAGAAGUGUGAUUGACUUGGAGUUACAUUGUGUUGUUUAAGUGUUCCCUUUAUUUUUUUGAGCAGUGUAUAUAUUUUCUAAUACAAAAAACAGCUCAGUCCCUUGCCCCCACCUACCCCAAUCCCAACCUCCCUUUCCAUCCCAGGGAAAUAAAUAAAUAUAUAUAUAUAAAAUACUAUUAAUAUAAGGCCUCAUAACUCCAAUUCUAUACCUAACUCUAACCGUAAUGCUAAAUCUAACCCUAACCGUAAUGCUUAAUCUAACCCUAACCGUAAUGCUAAAUCUAACCCUAACCGUAACGCUAAAUCUAACCCUAACCGUAACGCUAAAUCUAACCCUAACCGUAACGCUAAAUCUAACCCUAACCGUAACGCUAAAUCUAACCCUAACCGUAAUGCUAAAUCUAACCCUAACCAUAACGCUAAAUCUAACCGUAACUCUAAAUCUAACCCUAACCGUAACGCUAAAUCUAACCCUAACCGUAACGCUAAAUCUAACCCUAACCGUAACGCUAAAUCUAACCCUAACCGUAACGCUAAAUCUAACCCUAACCGUAACGCUAAAUCUAACCCUAACCGUAAUGCUAAAUCUAACCCUAACCAUAACGCUAAAUCUAACCGUAACGCUAAAUCUAAACCUAACCGUAAUGCUAAAUCUAACCCUAACCAUAAUGCUAAAUCUAACCCUAACCGUAAUGCUAAAUCUAACCCUAACCGUAACGCUAAAUCUAACCCUAACACUGGCAGGUGGUGGCAUAUCAAUAAAGCUGCAGUUGAUAGUUUGAGCCAUUAUAGAGCAACUAUGGGGGCUAUCCAAUUAAGUGGGGUGUCUCUUUUUCUCUAUAAUGGGUGUCCAUUUCCUCUCAUAAUCUUGUUUUAAACAUGUACUAACUCCCUCAUUUGCCCACUUGCAGUUGGUUCUUUUUGAGCCAGAGUGGAACCCCGGUUUCCAUGACUGAAUGCAGAGCUUUCUGAUGUUGAUGAUACUGCAUCAGGAACUGAUUGGAUGAUGUCGAUGGGCCAUCAGUUCUUGAUGCAUUGCCUUCAGCAUUGAAAGAAACACCACACAGUGUGUUGCUCUUUUAAACUAUGAUGUUCUAGUUUUUUCCAUGUAUGUUGUACAGUAAUUCAUUUUUAAAAAAUGUAAUCAUUUAAAAUACUGUAAUUGAGCAUCAUGAACCUUUAUAAAGGCUUAUUCACAUUUAUACAUGUUUACAAAUAAAUGUGUAAUUGUUUAUAAAUAGAUUAUUAAUGCUUAUUCAUGAUAAUUAUUAUAAAGUGUUACCAAUGUUUUGUUAAGGCAAAGAUUAGGACAGCAGGUACUUUGAGAUAUUUAAGGAAUAGAAUAAAUCUGUGUCGUUGUACCUUUGGUUAGAAUUUGUGUUAAAGAGAAUGCUUGUUAUGAAUGGUUUGACAUAUAUAAGCGAUUGUAUUUUUUUUAUAAGUCCAUAAUUGAUUUUCUGGUAAAUGUGUGGUGUGCAAUGCAGAAUGAUGACGCUAUUAAAGGAUGUUUUAGAAGUGUAGUACGCUGUACCUCAAGUAAAUUUCCUCAUGGCUAUUCAGACCACAGGAGGCUGCUGAGGGGAGGACGGCUCAUGAUAAUGGCCGGAACAGAGCAAAUGGAAUGGCAUCAAACACAUGGAAAUCAUGUGUGUUUGUGUAACAUUUAUUUAACUAGGCAAGUCAGUUUCUUAUUUACAAAGGCGGCCUAUACCAGCCAAACCCAGACAAUGCUUGGCCAAUUAUGCGCCACCCUAUGGGAGUACCAAUCACCGCUGGUUGUGAUACAGCUUGAAUUCAAACCAGGGUGUCUGUAGUGACGCCUCUAGCAUUGAGAUGCUGUGCCUUAGACCGCUGUGCCACUCAGGAACCCAAGUUGUAUUUCAUACCAUUCCACUAAUUCUGCUCCAGGCAUUGCCACGAGCUGUCCUUCCCAAUUAAGGUACCACCAAUCUCCUGUGAUUCAGAUGUGUUAGUUCAGAUGAAAAUUGCUGCAAACAUGACAAUCGACUUCAAGACAGACUUGAGAACUGUAAAUACCAUAAUCAAUGACAAGGGCGCCACCUGCCAGUCACAAUAUGAAAGUAUCUAUAUUUUCAUAUGAUGAGAUUUUUAAACAAAGACAGGAAUCGACACACUCCAUCAAUACCAUCUAUGGAGUAAGUGCAUUACAUUUUCACAGGCAAAUACUGUCUGCUUUCUGUAUAUCGAACAUUCCAUGAGAGCAACUACUUUUUAAAACAUUAUGUGAAGCUAUCCAUAAAUUCUUCACAAUAAUAGGUCCUUCAUUUUGGAUUAGGGUGUAUGUGUGUGGCAUGUGCAAACAUGUAGCCUAACUAAGGUAAAACAGUUGAUCUCUUAUAGUCACAAGGCCUCCAAGUAAAGCUCACAAUGCAUUGACACCAGAUACUAGCUUUAUCACUGAAUGGGUGUUACUAUCCUCACAAACGAUGCUGAAUCAAACCAUAACCCAGGAUAUAGGGGCUGAGUGAAUGUGGUCUGGCAUUUGUGGAGGAGGGUCAUUGUGUCAGAGAUGCUGUAGAAGGACAGAGUCCCUGCACUGUGGCUCAGGUACACUCCUGCACCAGGGGAGCGAGGAACAUUAAUAUGAGUGCAUUCUCCAUUAUUGUGGAAGAAACAAGUGUAGAGCGGAGGGGAGCAGUAUAUCAUCCAGGACUGAUCAUUCAUCCCAUGCUGAUCAUCUACUUUCCUGAUCUCUUCAUUUGACACUGCUAUAUGAGCGGAUUGCCCACUCCACUCUACCUCCCAGUAGAUGCAGGCACCAGAUAUUUUGUCCUAUGAAAAUCCUCAUCAAUCUACACACCAAACCCCAUAAAUGACCAAGCGAAAACAGGUUUUUAGAAAUUUUUGCAAAUGUAGAAUUUAUUUUAAACAGGAAUACAUUUUCACAUAAGUAUUCAGACCCUUUGCUAUGAGACUCAAAAUUUGCGCUCAGGUGCAUCCUGUUUCCAUUGAUCAUCAUUGUGAUGUUUCUACAACAUGGUUGGAGUCCACCUGUUGUAAAUUCAGUUGAUUGGACAUGAUUUGGAAAGGCACACCUGUUUAUUUAAGGUCCCACAGUUGAUAGUGCAUGUCAGAGCAAAACCAAGCCAUGAGGUCGAAGGAAUUUGUCGGUAGAGCUCCGGGACAGGAUUGUGUCAAGGCACAGAUCUGGGGAAGGGUACCAAAACAUGUCAGCAGCAUUGAAGUUCCCCAAGGACACAGUGACCUCCAUAAAUCUUAAAUGGAAGAAGUUUGGAACCACCGAGACUUCCUAGAGCUGGCCGCCCGGCCAAACUGAGCAAUCGGGGGAGAGGGGCCUUGGACAAGGAGGAGACAUGUAAAUGUGACAUUAAUUUAAAAAUGUUUAAUACAUUUACAAAAGAUUCUAAAAACCUGUUUUUAUUGCAUUGUAUGGGUGUGUAGAUUGAUGAGGGGGAAAAAACAAUUUAAUCAAUUUUAGAAUAUGGUUGUAACGUAACAAAAUGGGGUCUGAGGUCUUUCCUAAUGCACUGUAGAUAUAACUUGAUCAUCAUGUCAUUUUGAAGAAUUAUCAAUAGUGGUGCCCACCACAAGAAAUGUCCAACUACUCCAUUUUGUACAGAUGAAAUGAACGAUAUCUAUACUUUCUUAUACCAUGGCAUUGUUGAAUACUCAUUUCUGAUUGGCUUGAAGGGCAUUCUAGAGCGUUCAUUAUUUAAGCAAUAAGGCACGAGAGGGUGUGGUAUAUUGCCAAAAUGCCACAGCUAGGUGCUGUUCUUAAGUACGACGCAACGCGGAGUGCCUGGAUACAGCCCUUAGCUGUGGUAUAUUGGUCAUAUACCACAGCCCCCCGAGGUGCUUUAUUGCUAUUAUAAACUGGUCAUCAACGUAAUUAGAGCAGUAACUAGAAAUGUUUUGUCAUACCCAUGGUAUACGGUCUGAUAUACCAUGGCAGUCAGCCAAUCAGCAUUCAGGGCUCAAACCACCCAGUUUAUAAUCCCUUAAACUGGGAAUAAACUGGGAAUAAACUGGGAAUCCCAGGUUGCUUUAUUGCCAGGAGCAACUUCCAAUACAACCUCCAAUACAUAAUUUACAAACAAAGCAUGUGUUUAGUGAGUCCACCAGAUCAGAGGCUGUAGGGAUGACCAGGGAUGUUCUUUUGAUAAGUGUGUGAAAAAGACUGUUUUAUUGUCCUGCUAAGCAUUAAAAAAGUCAACAUAAGAGUUGUCUAAAAUAUAAAGUAAAUAUACCCCAAAAAACUACUUAAGUAGUACUUUCAAGUAUUUUUACUUAAGUACUUUACACCACUGAUGACUCCCAACCAAAUGUAUUGUGCUUGAGCAAUUUUGUCAAAGACAAUGGAUAUAUGUUGCACCAACAUGCUGACCAGACAGCACACCCCUGUGCGUCUGCGUGCACCAUCGCACACAUGUUGAUUUUGUCAUCCACACCAGACAUGAUCAGGACACGCAGGUUGAAAUAUCAAAACAAACUCUGAACCAAUUAUAUUAAUUUGGGGACAGGUCGAAAAGCAUUAAACAUUUAUGGCAAUUUAGCUAGCUAGCUUUCUGUUCCUAAAUCAUUUAUCCUGGGAUAUAAAUAUUUGGUAGUUUUUUUUACCUGAAAUGCUAAAUGGUAUAUGCUCCUAAAAACCAAUGAGGAGAUGGGAGUGGGAGGAUUUGCAGUGCGUCGAGCAUCACAAAUAGAACCAAGUUCUAUUUUAGCGCCUGGCUACGCAGAUGCUCAUUGACGCUCGCGAGCAGUAUGGGUGCAAUGAUUGAAUAACGUGUAUGUGUACAUUUAUCUUGCAAUGCUCGCGCGUGCGACCCGAGCAGUGUGGUCAGCAUGUAAAAGUUGUGCAAAGUUGGUAGAAUCAUAUUCGAAAUGAUUCACAGCUGUAAUGGCUGCCAAAGGUGCUUCUGUCAAGUAUUAACUCUGGGGUGUGAAGGCAUAUGCAAUCAAGACAUCUUAAUUUUAAAAAUAUUUUUACAUUUUUAAUUUAGACAUUUUCUUUCACUUUGAAAAUGUGGAGUAGGUUUUUUAGAUCUGUGGGGUGGAAUCCAGUUUAAUCCCUUUUUAAAUUAAAUGUUAAGGCAGCAAAAUCAGAAGACUGCAAUGGAUGUGUAGACUUUCACUGGGUGUGUAGACUUUCACUAGGGCGACAGGUAGCCUAGUGGUUAAGAGAGUUGGGCCAACUAAGAGAGUUGAGCCGACUAGGUGAAAAAUCAAUUGAUAUGCACUUGAGCAAGGGACUUAACCAUAGUUGCUCCUGUAAGUCAUUUAGGAAAAGAGCGUCUGCUAAAUGACUAAAAUGUAAAAAUGUUUGUCCUGUAGCUGAUCUUUCCGUUUCUUCCAAAAAAAUUUAUGGAUAGGUGUUGAAGGAAUUCUAAAUUCCUCUGUUUUAUUUCCCAAUCAAAAUUAAACACUCUGUCAAUGCAUUAAGAGGUUUGUAAGACCCUUAUUUUAUAAGAAUGGACAGAGCCCCGGUCUUAAAAGUCAGGUAACAGCAUUUCAUUCAAGAGAGUACUCCCUUCAUACACAUUUUACCACAGGUUAUAAACUGAAAAUGACGUCAGCGUUUUCUAAAUGUUCUAUCUCUUCUUGACACUGGUAGAGAGGCCCUAUAGUUCAAGCCUUCCCUCCUCGCCUAAAGCCAAGGUCAGUCAGUGUAGAUAAGCAUUCUAGACAGUCUGGAGAUAGUCCGUCCCUGCCAUCUGGAGAUAGUUAAUUCAUUUGUACAAAGGAACAGACCGUCAUUGUCCUAACUUUUGCCCACGUUCACACACCUCCGUUCCAGUACUAAGGCUGUGUCUCAAGCCUUCCCACAUCCGUCUCCCUACCAAUUUAAUAUAAUUUACGAGUCAAGGUUUUCUUGUGUAGAUAAGCAUUCUAGCCAGUCUGAUUCAUUUGUACCAAUGAACAGACUGUCAUUGUUACUAAACUCUUGACCACAUUCACUUCAGUACUGGGAUCAGAUAAGACAAUUCAGACAUAUACAGUAACAUUUAGUAUUUUGAUUAGUACAUAUACAGUACCAUAAUUGUAUUCUGAUUAGUACAUCCUGAUUGAAAUGUAUACAUAAUUAGUCAUUAUAGAUAAAAAUUCCCUUAACAAUAGGAGAUGGAGAUGUAUGGAUAGACAGGCCUCAGAUCCAGUAGAGAGUAUUUUGGGGGACAUUUAUGGAUGUCACCUGGAGGAAAUGGAUUUGAUCUUCUGAGUUUGAGAGCUGCUCCAUGUCAGCAUCUCUCCUCCUCAGGUCAGCAAACUCCUGCUCCGGUUCCUCUUUCAACUCAACUCACUUCAAGACCAUUCCUGGGCUCUGAUCAGCUCCUUCACAUCAGAGCACCUUCUCUCAAUGGAGUGCAUGAGCUCAGUGAAAAUCCUCUCACUGUCUUCCACUGCUGCCAGUGCAGAGUGCUGUAAGGACACACACACAGAGGAGUGGGUCCAUUUACACCAGCCCAUUCACUCAGCUCUUACUUGGAUCCCAGACAGCUUGGAAAUGCAAAUAUGUAAAUAAUUUACAUAGAUGACACCAACACUUAGCUUCACAGAGUACACAGCCUGUCUCACAUCCUGCAUCUCCCUCUGUCUCUCCUGGAUUGUCUGUUGGGAUUUCGGAUGUUUCUCCCCCAACUCUUUGCAUAUAAAUUCAUCCCGAAUAUGAAAUGCCUUAUAUUCUAGUGUUUGUUAAGUUUGAAAUAUGUUAUGCUCUUAGGGGCCUCCCGGGUGGCGCAGUGGGGCCUCGACCGGGAGGCCCAUGGGGCGGUGCACAAUUGGCCCAGUGUCGUCCGGGUUAGGGGAGGGCUUGGCCGGCAGUGAUAUCCUUGCCUCAUCGCGCACUAUGGCAGGCCGUGCGCAGUGCACACAGACCAGGUCGCCAGGUGUACAGUGUUUCCUCCGACACAUUGGUGCAGCUGGCUUCCGGGUUGGAUGUGCAUUGUGUCAAGAAGCAAUGCGGCUUGGUUGGGUUGUGUUUUGUAUGGGAGUUGUGUUGUGUAUGGGAGUUGCAGUGAUGAGACAAGACUGUAACUACUACCAAUUGGAUACCAUGAAAUUGGGGAGAAAAAAAAGGGCAAAAAAAAUAAAAUAAAAAAUAAAUAUGUUAGGCCCUACAUGAACUCAAUGUGAGGAUUGGCAACAACAACUCCUCCACGCUAACUCUUAACUCAGGGGCCCCCCAGGGGUGUGUCCUCAGUCCACUGUUGUACUUCCUGUUCACCCACGACUGUGUGGUGGUGUCAUGACAACAACCUCUCCUUCACUGCCAGCAAAACAAAGGAGUUGAUUGUUGACUUCAGGAAGCAGAAGAUGUGGCCCAGUCCACAUCAAUGGAACUGCAGUAGAAAGAGUCACAAGUUUCAAGUUCCUCAGCAUCCACAUCCCAGAGGACUUGUCAUGGACCAAAAACCCAACCACUCUUGUCAAGAGGGCGCAACAGUGUCUCUACUUCUUAAGGCGUCUGAAGAAAUGUGGCAUGCUGCCCCGGGUCUUCUCCAAAUACUACCGCUGCACCAUUGAGAACGUCCUGACAGGUUGCAUCAUGGCCUGGAAUGGGAAUUGCUCCUUCCACGGCCGCAAUGCCCCCCCAGCCAUGAGCUGUUCUUACCCCUACCAUCAGGCAGACGUAUCAAAGCAUGAGGUCUGAUACCAACAGGCAGUUUCUAUCUACAAGCCAUCAGACUGCUGAACACUUGAACUGGACUGACCACCUGCUUCUGAUUCUCCGCACCUUAGCACACGUGCACUCACUCAUGCAAACACCCACACACACACCCACACAUACACACACACAUGUAAAUAUUGGACUAUAAAUUGUGCCUUCCUGUAUUAUACUUAUAAAUGAUAAAGGUUUUUUCUAUUCUAAUGAGCCAUUUACUUUAUGUUUGUAUUCUUAUCUUUUAUUAUUUAUUGUUGUGGCAUUGUCGAGAAGGAACCUGCAAGUAAGCAUUUCAUUGGACGAUGUAUACCAUGAGUAUCCCGUACAUACGACUAAUAAUAAAACUACAUACGACUAAUAAUAAAACUUGAAACAAUGUGUCACGACUUCAACCUAAGGUGGCUCCUCUCCCUGUUCGGGCGGCACUCGGCGGUCGUCGACACCGGUCUACUAGCUGCCACUGAUUCCUUUUUCUUUUCUGUUGGUUUUGUCUUGAUGUUUUCACCUGUACCUUAUUUGUGGUUAAUUCGGGGCUAUUUAAACUUCCAGGGCCCGCCUGCUUUUGUGUGGGCUUAUUCCUCUCUGUCAAUGGUCGAUGUUUAUUUUGCUUAUACAUAUUUUUCCUGUUCGUUAUUUUCCCUGGUUUUGGGGGACUUAACUGUUUAUUGGUCAUUGUGCCUGUAUGUUGGCUAGACCCAGCUGAAUAAAUACGUCUACAUUGGAA